ACUUUUAUUCAGCUUCAUGUUUAAAGAUGACUGCAAAGACUCAGAGUGGUUCUCAUUCCUUGAUGAAUCCCCACAGAAACUGGUUUCCCACAGACUUGUAAAGGAUCCCUCGGGGGAGCUCAGAGUAAUUGUUAAAGUACACCUGACUGUGACGCAGAAGUUCAAGCCUGCAUUCAACUGCGAGUUUUCCUCAAACUCAGACCAGAUUUGUAAGCUAGAUGGAUCAAAACCACAGUACCCACACUGCACCUGCAAUCUCGCUGUCACUGUUACGGAUAAAGAAACUGAUGUCACGGUAAAAAUCACAUUUGGGGGUCUUUGGACAAACGAGGAACUAAAGCUGAUCGACUGUUCUACUUCUUCAGUAUCGUA